AACGGCGAGCGAACCGGGAAGAGCUCAAAUUUGAAAUCUGAUGUCCUCUGGCCGUCAGAGUUGUAAUCUACAGAGGCGUUUUCCGUGCCGGUCCGUGUCCAAUCGCCUUGGAACAGGUGAUCAAAGAGGGUGACAAUCCCGUAGUUGACACGACCGCCGGUGCUUUGUGAUACGUCUUCUAAGAGUCGAGUUGUUUGGGAAUGCAGCUCAAAACGGGUGGUAAAUUCCAUCUAAGGCUAAAUAUUGGCGAGAGACCGAUAGCGAACAAGUACCGUGAGGGAAAGAUGAAAAGCACUUUGGAAAGAGAGUUAAACAGUACGUGAAAUUGUUGAAAGGGAAACGAUUGAAGUCAGUCGUGUCCGAGGGGUUCAGCCGGUCCUGCCGGUGCAUUCCUCUCGGACGGGUCAACAUCGGUUUUGGCCGGCGGAAAAGGGCGCGGGGAAUGUGGCACCUCCGGGUGUGUUAUAGCCUCGUGUCGCAUACGUCGGCCGAGACCGAGGAACGCAGCUCGCCUUCAUGGCCGGGGUUCGCCCACGUACGAGCUUAGGAUGUUGACAUAAUGGCUUUAAACGACCCGUCUUGAAACACGGACCAAGGAGUCUAACAUAUCUGCGAGUGUUUGGGUGUCAAACCCGAGCGCGUAAUGAAAGUG
rnacentral:rRNA from 1 species